rnacentral:rRNA from 1 species
GACGAACGCUGGCGGCGUGCUUAACACAUGCAAGUCACGGGGGUCCGGGGGCAACUCUGGAUAACCGGCGAACGGGUGCGUAACACGUGACCAACCUGCCCUCGUGUGGGGGAUAGCCGGGCUAACGCCCGGGUAAUACCGCAUACGUUCUUUCGGGGGAGUCCCCGGAGGAGGAAAGCUCCGGCAACGGAGUGCACGGGGAGGGGGUCGCGGCCUAUCAGCUAGUUGGUGCGGUAACGGCGCACCAAGGCGACGACGGGUAGCUGGUCUGAGAGGAUGGCCAGCCACAUUGGGACUGAGAGACGGCCCAGACUCCUACGGGAGGCAGCAGU